rnacentral:rRNA from 1 species
AUGUCAGCCGCCGCGGUAAUACGGGGGGUGCAAGCGUUGUCCGGAAUCACUGGGUGUAAAGGGUGUGUAGGCGGGGCUGUAAGUCAGAGGUGAAAUCCCACGGCUCAACCGUGGAACUGCCUUUGAUACUGCAGCUCUUGAGUCCCGGAGAGGUGGCUGGAAUUCGUGGUGUAGCAGUGAAAUGCGUAGAUAUCACGAGGAACACCAGAGGUGUAGACGGGUCACUGGACGGGUACUGACGCUGGGGCACGAAAGCGUGGGGAGCAAACAGGAUUAGAUACCCUGGUAGUCCACGCCGUAAACGAUGGAUGCUCAGUGUUGCCCCGCCUUUAGGGGCAGUGCCUAAGCUAACGCGUUAAGCAUCCCACCUGGGGAGUACGCUCGCAAGAGUGAAACUCGAAUGAAUUGGCGGGG